AGUGGCCUGGAGUGGCCGAGCGCUGUGGAGUACAGUGGUGACUGAAAGCAGAGAGCGUGAAGACACCAACAGGCCUGCUAGAACUGGUGAUGGACCUACCAGGGAUGGGCUGUUUGCGCCACAAGGAGGAAUCACCAGGGGCUUAGAAUGCUCCAACAGGCAGUGAUGGAGAUGUGAAACUGGGGCCAGCAAGACCGAGGCAGACAGGCCAGGGAGACUCACAUGUGACAGGAAAGGCUGCUGGUCCCCUCAUGUGCCAGGAAAGGCACAGGAUGCAGGACUGGAAACAUAAAUGGAGGCAUUUAGUCCAGCUAUGCUGGCUGCUGCAAAGACCUGUACAAUUUCAUUUCCUUGAAACUUCUAAGAAAAGAGGUGACCAGGCAGCUGAGGACCACAGCCAGAGGACAACAGAGCAGUAAGAGAAGGAAUAGGUCUUGGAAUGACCUCAUAGAGCAAGUUCACCCACCUGGUCUACCUCACCUGGGACUGUGCAACAGAAAGACCAAAAGUCCAUCCUGCCUGGUCGCGUUUUUUUUUGUUGUUGUUUGUUUUGGUUUUUUUUAAAGAUUCAUUUAUUUAUGCACACAAGAACUGGGGUACAGGCCAGAGGUGUGGGAGGGUGAGAGGAUUCACCAGAGACAGAGCAGGGACCAGAACAAGCAGAUUGACUGAAAUGCACUGCUGAGGGAGCAUCAGGGAGACAGGAGAGGUCUGCUGCACCAUGAGGGUUACUCCUUGGCCGGGGAUCGAACUCGUGCUGCAGCAGCUGCAGAUAGCUUCAUAGGUUGCGUCUUAACCCCUUGUGUCACCAGGGAGGCCCUGGUCUCCUUGUUAUAGCAACUUAGCCCAGCUAAUUCUGAGGACAGAAGAGAAUUUGAGGCUGUUUUCACACUUCCUUCCUGUCCAACUGGUCUACAACAUAUUCAGCAUCCAUGGCUAGGGCGGGAGAGCGAGGAGGGCCACCCCUACUGGCCAGCACCCCAUUCUGCUUGGAGAUACCCAUGAGCCCUUCUGGGAGCUCGUGGCUCUCUGCAUCCUAUGGGUUUCUGUCCCCAUCACCCGCCCUAUUCCUGUCCCCUCCCCUCUCCAGUACCAUUUUCCUGACCCAGACUUCCAAAGACUCCAGGGUGUCAACUGUCUGACUCCAUAAAUUAAUCUGUGGUGAUAACAAAGAUCAGGGAAAAGCUCCUUCCUAUUUCAAGUUUGCUAAAAAUCAUUUUAAAUGCAUUGAUGUUAAUUGUCAGUUUUGCUGUGUAUGUUAAGAAAAUGAAAAUUUUUCUACUCCCAUCUAAGAAUAUAAUAAAUUAUACA